rnacentral:rRNA from 1 species
CAGCCGCCACGGUAAUACGUAGGGUGCGAGCGUUAAUCGGAAUUACUGGGCGUAAAGCGUGCGCAGGCGGUUAUAUAAGACAGAUGUGAAAUCCCCGGGCUCAACCUGGGACCUGCAUUUGUGACUGUAUAGCUAGAGUACGGUAGAGGGGGAUGGAAUUCCGCGUGUAGCAGUGAAAUGCGUAGAUAUGCGGAGGAACACCGAUGGCGAAGGCAAUCCCCUGGACCUGUACUGACGCUCAUGCACGAAAGCGUGGGGAGCAAACAGGAUUAGAUACCCGAGUAGUCCCUGUCUCUUAUAC